GACGAACGCUGGCGGCGUGCUUAACACAUGCAAGUCGAACGGUAAGGCCCUUCGGGGUACAAGAGUGGCGAACGGGUGAGUAACACGCGGGUGAUCUGCCCUGCACUUCGGGAUAAGACAGGGAAACUGGGUCUAAUACCGGAUAGGACUCCGGACUACAUGGUCCGGGGUGGAAAGAUUUUGCGGUGGUGGAUGGGCCCGCGGCCUAUCAGCUUGUUGGGGGGUGAUGGCCUGCCAAGGCGAGGACGGGUAGCCGGCCUGAGAGGGUGACCGGCCACACUGGGACUGAGAUACGGCCCAGACUCCUACGGGAGGCAGCAGUGGGGAAUAUUGCACAAUGGGCGCAAGCCUGAUGCAGCGACGCCGCGUGAGGGAUGGCGGCCUUCGGUUUGUAAACCUCUUUCAGCAUCGACGAAGCGAAAGUGACGGUAGGUGCAGAAGAAGGACCGGCCAACUACGUGCCAGCAGCCGCAGUAA
rnacentral:rRNA from 1 species